rnacentral:rRNA from 1 species
GAUGAACGCUGGCGGCGUGCUUAACACAUGCAAGUCGAACGGAAAGGCCCAAGCUUGCUUGGGUACUCGGGUGGCGAACGGGUGAGUAACACGUGGGUGAUCUGCCCUGCACUUCGGGAUAAGCCUGGGAAACUGGGUCUAAUACUGGAUAGGACCACUUCUUGGAUGUUGUGGUGGAAAGUUUUUUCGGUGUGGGAUGAGCUCGCGGCCUAUCAGCUUGUUGGUGGGGUAAUGGCCUACCAAGGCGUCGACGGGUAGCCGGCCUGAGAGGGUGUACGGCCACAUUGGGACUGAGAUACGGCCCAGACUCCUACGGGAGGCAGCAGUGGGGAAUAUUGCACAAUGGGCGCAAGCCUGAUGCAGCGACGCCGCGUGGGGGAUGACGGCCUUCGGGUCGUAAACUCCUUUCGCUAGGGACGAAGCGUUUUGUGACGGUACCUGGAGAAGAAGCACCGGCUAACUACGUG